UACGGAGGGUGCAAGCGUUAUCCGGAUUCACUGGGUUUAAAGGGUGCGUAGGUGGGAAAGUAAGUCAGUGGUGAAAUCUCCGUGCUUAACACGGAAACUGCCAUUGAUACUAUUUUUCUUGAAUUUUCUGGAGGUCAGCGGAAUAUGUCAUGUAGCGGUGAAAUGCUUAGAUAUGACAUAGAACACCAAUUGCGAAGGCAGCUGGCUACAGGGAUAUUGACACUGCGGCACGAAAGCGUGGGGAUCAAACAGG
rnacentral:rRNA from 1 species